rnacentral:rRNA from 1 species
CCUACGGGUGGCAGCAGUGGGGAAUAUUGGACAAUGGGCGAAAGCCUGAUCCAGCCAUGCCGCGUGUGUGAAGAAGGCCUUCGGGUUGUAAAGCACUUUCAGUGGGGAAGAAAGCCUUGGGGCUAAUACCCUCGAGGAAGGACAUCACCCACAGAAGAAACACCGGCUAACUCCGUGCCAGCAGCCGCGGUAAUACGGAGGGUGCGAGCGUUAAUCGGAAUUACUGGGCGUAAAGCGCGCGUAGGCGGUCUGAUAAGCCGGUUGUGAAAGCCCCGGGCUCAACCUGGGAACGGCAUCCGGAACUGUCAGGCUAGAGUGCAGGAGAGGAAGGUAGAAGUCCCGGUGUAGCGGUGAAAUGCGUAGAGAUCGGGAGGAAUACCAGUGGCGAAGGCGGCCUUCUGGACUGACACUGACGCUGAGGUGCGAAAGCGUGGGUAGCAAACAGGAUUAGAUACCCCGGUAGUC